GAAAUGUUAGCUCAAAGGAAGAGUACUGACCCUCCAAGUCAGAGGUUGCGGGUUCGAAUCCUGUACAUUUCA
rnacentral:tRNA from 2 species